AGGACGAACGCUGGCGGCGUGCUUAACACAUGCAAGUCGAACGGAAAGUGCUCAGCUUGCUGGGUGACUCGAGUGGCGAACGGGUGAGUAACACGUGGGUGAUCUGCCCUGCACUUUGGGAUAAGCCUGGGAAACUGGGUCUAAUACCGAAUAUUCCUUGCUGGUCGCAUGGCCUGGUGGGGAAAGCUUUUGCGGUGUGGGAUGGGCCCGCGGCCUAUCAGCUUGUUGGUGGGGUGAUGGCCUACCAAGGCGACGACGGGUA
rnacentral:rRNA from 1 species